CGUUCUCAAAAGUCGAAACGUUUCUUCGCUGGCUUCAAAUCAAACUAGGUUUUCUGAGCCUCCUUUGAUUCUCAGUCUUUAGGGCUUUUGUUCAAUUUCACUGGAUCACUUCAGGUCCUUCCUUCUUUUUUCUGUAUGGACUUUUUUUUGUUGUUGAUUUUUUAGAUCCAUCUAAGGGCUCUGAUCUUGGUACUAGUUUGAUUAUUCUUUGACGUUUUGAAUUUGGAAUCACUGAUUGUUGUGUUGCAAUUAAUUAUCGUUCUGAAAUUGUAUUGCUGCAAUCAGAUUCGAAUUCAUUUUUUGUUUUUUUUGUUUUUGCUUUUAGUAUUUGACUUUGGUGAUUUUAAGGAUUCAGAAUGUAAAUCCAGUUCUAACAACUUGAUUUUAGACAAGUUAAUUAUUAUGUGAAUAAUUAUGGUUUCUGAUUUAACUGUUGAAUUUCAUGAUAGACUCGUAUAAUUGAAACUGAGAAAUUACUCUUCAUUUUAAUGGUUUUGGCUUCAGUCUGUAUGAUUUGUUAGAAUUCGUACUCAUGGUGCUGUCUUCUUUGCAGGUUUUAUAUUCAGAUUCACCGUAUUUGGGUAGUCAAACUCAUCUACAGAACUUUCAAGCUCACCUCACAAAAUUACUGAAUACAACUAGUGGUAGAAUAGAUGUGUGAGUGAUUUUAUAUUAUUUUAUAUUUUUUUAAAUUUACUUCAUAUCAGUGUAUUACAUAGAGAUUUUUCACUGAGGGUGUGUUUUGAUUGUUUCAGGAUCGAUACAGUUAAUUGGUAGGAGAAACAAAUAGAGGUAGUUUCUCUUGAUUGGUGUUUUUCUUCCUGCAUUUGAUAAUUUUUAAUUCUUAUCUUCUUUAGUGGGUUCUGUUUCAGUCAUUGCAAGAAGAAUUACCAUUUUCUGGUUACUCGCACAUAUACGUUGUUCAGAAACAUGACUUGUACGAUAUGUCCUGCUACUACAGAAUACGGUACGGUUU
rnacentral:lncRNA from 1 species